AACAAGUAUGCAUUAUACAAAAUAAUAUAUAUUUAAAAUUUAUACGCAAAAACAUAAAAGUUGUUAUAAGUCUCUUUCUGACACAUGCACACUCCACUAUGAAUAAAAAUUAAAAAAAAAACAGUAUUGUCAUCAAACUUUAUCACAAAUCCACAUUUGUACAUCUGUAAUUAUGAGUUGGACAAUUAGUUAAUUUGAUACAAUACCAAAGUAAGAAUAAU
rnacentral:lncRNA from 1 species